rnacentral:snRNA from 1 species
UUCUUGUCCUUAUUUUCUGAGU